CCCUUAGAUGUUCUGGGCCGCACGCGCGCUACACUGAUUCAUGCAUCAAGUAUACAACCUUGGUCGAAAGGCUUGGGUAAUCUUUGAAACUGAAUCGUGCUGGGGAUUGGAGCUUGUAAUUAUUCUCCAUGAACGAGGAAUUCCUAGUAAACGCGAGUCAUCAGCUCGCAUUGAUUACGUCCCUGCCCUUUGUACACACCGCCCGUCGCACCUACCGAUUGAAUGGUCCGGUGAAAUCUCGGGACGGCGGCUUGGUCGCUUGCGUCCGACUGCUGAAACUUGAUUAAACCAUAUCAUUUAGAGGAAGGUGAAGUCGUAACA
rnacentral:rRNA from 1 species